rnacentral:rRNA from 1 species
CCUACGGGAGUCAGCAGUGGGGAAUCUUGCACAAUGGGGGAAACCCUGAUGCAGCAACGCCGCGUGAGUGAAGAAGUAAUUCGUUAUGUAAAGCUCUAUCAGCAGGGAAGAAAAUGACGGUACCUGCGUAAGAAGCACCGGCUAACUACGUGCCAGCAGCCGCGGUAAUACGUAGGGGGCAAGAGUUAUCCGGAUUUACUGGGUGGAAAGGGCGCGUAGACGGCAGUGCAAGUAUGGAGUGAAAGGCAGGGGCUCAACCCCCGGACUGCUCUGGAAACUGUAUGGCUGGAGUGCAGGAGAGGCAAGUGGAAUUCCUAGUGUAGCGGUGAAAUGCGUAGAUAUUAGGAGGAACACCAGUGGCGAAGGCGGUCUACUGGACUGCAACUGACGUUGAGGCGCGAAAGCGUGGGGAGCAAACAGGAUUAGAUACCCCAGUAGUC